rnacentral:Y_RNA from 1 species
GGCUGGUCUGAAGGUAAAUGAGUUAUCUCAAUUGGUUGUUCAGUUAGUUAUAGACUGAACACCUUGUUCUACUCAUUCUCGCUUCUAACUAAUACAUGGGACUAGCCUUAA